ACUGAUGCGAAGUGGCUCAGCUGGAAAGGGUAAAUGGUGAUGACAGCAAGACUGCAUAAAGCAGAAGAUGAGGGGGAAAACCGGCUCAGCCGUGACUUGGGGCAUCCACAGAUCGAACUAUUGAGGAAUCUAGACAGAGGGCAGCACUCAGGAGCCCGGCUGUGGGAGUUGAUCCCAGGAGAGCUCGUGAACUGGAACGAGUCCAAGCCUGCAGCUGGACCCACGACUACAUCAGAUGCUGAGAGCAGAGGAGAAAGCAAAGGAGAGCCUUUUCCCCGGGCCUUGGAAUCCGUGAAUCAAGCUAAGCACUCUGAAAAUGGGACUCGGCACAUCCUUAGAAGGAAGGUACGAGCUAUUUGGCAGCUAAGGACAUUCUUCUGCAUGCUGCACUGCUGGUGGAAAAUAUGGAAGAGAUGCCCAUGACUGUCAGCUAUGGCCUUAAGACCCCGGAGAUUCAGUUCUCUGAUGAGAAGUCGCUUUGAGUCUGUGAAACGUUACACCAGGCAUCUGCUGAAUUUGAAGGGAGUAGCAAGUGGUGACAGAAUAACCAGUUGUCAGUGAUCUGUAUCAGUUGUGCAAAUGCCAGAAAAAUAAUUUCAAGGUGAUUUCCCAGGUAUUUGUAAUAGAUCAUAAAUAAAAAAGGCUACUGGCUAGUAACAUCCUGCAUUCCACCUUGAAUUUCUAGAGUAGUCCUUGGAUUGCAAAUAUAAACGUUCUCAAAAAUAUAAAUAUGACUACUUUAACAAUCCAGCAACGAAUGGACAAAUAUAAUUUGAACUCCCACAAUUACCUCUUACUCUUUAAAUGUUCUCCAAGGGAAGCUCUAAAUUAAAUGAGAAGUCAAUUUUAAAAUGUAGAAAUGGAGUAAGGGAUGAAUUCUCCAUUUUUUUUUAUCAGACAUUUGCAGCGUUAGGCUAUCCCACUACACUGUAGGAUUCA
rnacentral:lncRNA from 1 species